rnacentral:lncRNA from 1 species
UACACAAACAAGCUGCCCGGGAUUUCAGGCAGCGUCGGACCGGAAGAGACCUGUUCGGGAGUUUUUGUAGUAAAACGGGAUUAAACCGUGUUUAAUUGUGUCACUGUGGAGCUUGUUAGAACUCUGGAUACAAGACGUUGUCUCCCUGUGUCACUAAUAAACGGCGUGUUGAGCCAAGAGAGAAGUUGGUUUUUGAUUACACAACGCAGAAGAAAGUACACACCCACUACACUAACACUCUAAAUCUGUAUACAGAAUUUAUGAUCCAUUUGUCUUCUAAAGUGUACUUGUCCUUUUUUGUGAUUUCAGAUCAUGGAGGAGUUUUUGGAGAAUAACGGCACACCUUCAUGUACAAGCGUAACCACAACAAAGCUCAAUGCUCUGGUGAAGGCCAAGCCAGGUGUGUCCAAACUGAGGCUGUUGCAGGAUGAACAGAUAGACUGCUGAACACAUCUUCUGGAUCUUGGCUACCAUAGUGCAGAAGGAGAGGAUCCAGUCAAGCCGUCUGGAAGAUAACAACGUGGGACUGACCUUGCAUAUUCCCGAGCACUGUCUCCUUACCAUUGAAGGUACUCUUUUAAAUAUUUAACUGUAUAAGUCGAUAAAGUAAGUCAAUUAGAUUUUUCUGUUUGUGA